GAUGACCCAUGAAAAAAGGUCAAA
rnacentral:siRNA from 1 species